UGAACUGAACUGAAAUCCAGUUGCAGAGAGGGAAGAGUGAUGAGCAAAGGGGUCAAGACCAGGCUGGUGAAACCCACAGAAACAGAUGACCUGAACAAGCAGGAGCUCAUGGACCCCAGACUGUACAUUGUUUUUUAUCUGUUGAUUUUAUAAGAUAAAAGUACAUUUUAAUUAAGAAUAAAUUAAUGUGCAAAUCUCAGAUUCUUGGGGUGCUAGGAAGGAAAAUUUCCCAUUUUCACCUUUCCUGUCAUCAUUGUUGGGGAAGGAUGACAGUUUUCUCUGAUCUGUAAGGAAGAGCAAGCAGAAAACUUUGCUUGACUGUGUCUCUCUUCUGGGGCUGACUGAUUGCCAGAUGGUCUGUCUCUGUGUGCCUCUCACAGCCUUUGGCACCCUUUCCAGAAGAGUCCCCUGGGGAAUGCUGUGAUGGUGCUGUACAGGGAGCAAAAGGGCACAUCAACAGGUAGAGACCAGAGACGCAGCAGUGAGGGGAUGGAUGGCACAUAGGUGGGCCAGCCAGAGAGAAGCGGAAAAGAGAAAACGAAGGAAAGAAGCCAAGAAGGAAGACAGCUAAAGAAGCUAUGGUGGCAUGAAAAGACAGGAGUGGGGGAGUCUAGGAUGGUGUCCGGUCCCUGGGGCUCCUUCUGUUCUUCUCUGGGGGUGGGUCUCCAUGCACUUUGUUUUCCUUCAUACUGUCUAGGUAUUCCUUUUGAAACAUUCCCUCUUAAUACCUUUGGUCAAGGUAUUUUAUCAUACAAACAGAAAAAAUACCUAAUACAUGUUUUCUUUAUUUUCUUUCUUUUAAAUUUAUUUAUUUAUUUAUUUAUUUAUUUAUAUGUCUGAGCUAGGGACAGACACAGAUAGAAUCAAAGGGAUAGUUCUUGCUCUCCUGGGGCAAGAUUAUAAAGUAAAUAAGUAAAUUGGAUGUACCCUGUUACAUUCCUCUUUAGAACCUCAACCUAUUUCUUAUUUGUAGAAAUGGAAGACAUAAGAUGCUCAGGUUCCAUUGACAAAAUCAGGUGGUGGAAAGGAUGUAAUGGCUAACUGAGAGCUUGAGUGUGGUUUAGAUACUCCUUCAAAGACCUUAUUGUUAUUUUAAGGCUUUGCUUAAAAUUAUGAAGAGAAUGAACUACAUUUCAAAUUGAGUAGAGGCAUUUCCAGUAUUGAAAGUUAAAAUACCCCCCCCCACACACGUAUGUAUGUAUGUAUGUAUGUAUGUAUGUAUGGAUGGAUGGAUGGAUGGAUGGAUGGAUACCUUAGCUACUUAAGAAGUGAGGAAACUAAACCAAGAAGCUUCUUCCCCUUGUGUCAGGUUCUCCAGAGUCCUGUAUACUCAGCUGUCCUGAUUUCCAGUUUCCUGUGGUGUCAGAUGUUUGGCAGAAAAUGUGAGUUCCGUUUUUAGAGACAGCCACUUAGCAGGAAGUUAGAAGACUCCAUUGUGAUGGCUUUGAAACGCUCUUCUUCUGAUCUAUUUCUAGGCGAGUUUCUGUCUUUCUAAUGACAGUGUGACAGUUCUGCUCAGACACUGAGGGCUCUGGCACUGCUAUCUGCUCCCAGAGAUUAUAGCAUCCCACCCAGACCAUGAAGACCAGAGAUCUAACAAGGCUAAAGUGGCUCUCUCCUUUGAAAUGUUUAUGGCGUCUGUUAGGACCAUGGUAUAGUAAUAAGGCUUUCUUAAUGGAGGUCUUUAGGUAUCCAAAUUAAAAGUGGUCAAAUUAAUCAAGCAAUGAUUGAGUGCUCAAAAAUAAGAACCCUAAAACUGAUGAACUAAUAAUGUCAAGGGGCCCUUACUAAUACAGAAACCCUUUACCAGAUCUGCCUUAAUCUCAAAACCUCUCUGGUGUUACAAGAACUAUGUCUUGCACAAGGAUGAUUCCAGGCCACUCCACAUACCUCACCAUUGGAAUGUUUUCCUGGUCUCCUGUGUCUGAAAUUCAGCUGGAAAGAGUGAGGAGAAAAUACUCUUUACAGUCUAGAGGCAACAGAAUGGACUUGUCGGUCAUGAGCUUUACUGGAUCAUCUUCUGAUGUUCACUUUGGAUAUUCUUGCUAAGCACAUUUUUUUUUAGAAACUUUGGAUCAUGGCCUCUCUAAUUAUAAUAAGUUUCAAGGGCCCAUCCUGAUCAGCUUUGGAUACUACUUCUUGUUACCCUGACAUCAUACUAAUUUUAAAAAAGGGGAAAUAUCCUUGUCCUCCUUAGAAUUUGAAAUAAUCUCUGAAAUGAGUGAGAACCUAACAUAAAUGUCCUUUCUGUGGACUUAAAAUGCCAUAUGAAAGGGAGGAAAGUGGACAUAGUGUAGGCCCAUCAAUCGAAGGCAUGUUCCUAGUGGUAAUAGAUUUUAAUUUCUUCUUUAAUUUUUAAAAUUUACUCUGUUGAAAAGUUUUUGGUUACAGCAAUGGGACCUAAGUUAUAUUUCUGGCCAUUGGUAGAGAUAAGUCAUGUAAACUUCCCCCAAAGAAUAUAAAAUCCUGAAGAAAUAUUGUCCCUUACUAUUAAGAGUUAAUGUAAAUGGGCCCUGUCAAACACCUGGAAAGAAAAGCUCCCCUCACAAAGCUAUCUGUUGUCGAAGCUUCAGUUAUACCAGAAGUCACAGUAAGAACACAGUGUAAUUAUUCCUUACUGAGAUCUGUACCCCUGAACCUCAAAAGCUCUUCCAUGGAUGCAAUUGCUUUAAGUCCCUCACUGCCAAGGCUGCCUGCUUUCUGGGUUCUUGUUCAGAAAGUUAACUGUCUUUCCUAUAUUUUCCUUUUUAAAAUGUUGGUCAAAAUCCUGAGCAAAGCAUGCCUUAGGACUUUAGGCUCCAUCUCUCUGUCUGUCUCUGUUCUCUGUCUCAUUCUGUCCCUCCACCCCUCCUUUUAUAUACACAAUGUAGUUUCUCACAGACUUCCUACCUAUGUUGCUAUAAAUAAAAAAGCAUAAUGUUCUCUUUUUUGUUUAGCUAUCCUUUUGGCAGAUACUUAUACCUCCAUCUUGACGGUUCCUUUCUGAUCAUUUUUCUUUAAAUAGAUUAAUUUAAAUGCCAUCUCUCACUCCAUUCUUAUUAAAUUUUUAUAUUGUUUUAAAUUAUUCCUAUUUUUGAGAUGAUAAUUACAUCAUUUCCCCAUUCACUUUCUGCUUUUAAAUUCUUUUAUCUACAAGGCUAAGAAACCAUCAAAGGGAUCCUAUGUUCCCUGGUAACAAUAGUGUAUUAGAAAAAAAAGUGCAAACCCAUCAUGCUCAGUGGGAAAUCACAACUGAUGGUCAUCUUAUGAUACACAGUGUGGAUUCACGAGCAGCAAACACACAUUGCAGCAAGUAGCCUGUGUUCCUUUUGUGCAUGGGCAACUGGCCCUCUUCAGUUAGAAAGUAUUCCUGUAUAAAUAACUCUGCAAGGUAAUAAAUAAGAUGUCCAAAGUAUUGACCAUGAAUGUCAAGCAAUGUAAGUAGAGAAAAAUGUGGCCAGCAACCUCUAAGAGGCAGAGAAUUCUUCAGUGUAUUUUGAAAAUCUUUCAAAUGAAACCACUUAAACAAAACACAUUGUGCAACUCAGUCUAGUAGACAAAUCACAGUUUCUCGCUUAUUUGAAACAUUUUAUAAUGUUGUCAAAUAAAUGAGGUGUGUUACGGGAUGAUGGCUACAGAAGGUAGAUAAUGCAAUCUUGAUUUCAUCGGCAUGCUGAAUGAUUCAAGAGAUACUUCUCAAAUAAAAGUAAUAAGACUACAUUGUAGCUAUAUUUUAAUGUUUCUGGGGUCAGGGAGGGGGAUGGAAAUUCACAUCAUAAAAAUGAGUUCUAUCUUGUGUGUAUAAAAUGUUUGCACCUGAGAAGUUACCCCUGGGAAGAUGAGUUCUCUGGUCUGUGUAAACUGCAGACAGUCUGACCAACAACAGAUUGAAACAGUUCAGUUAGCAAAUGUUUUCAGUAGAAUAGAGGGACAUCUUUUAAAUAGCCAAAGGAAGACAGCUAAGGGUAGAAAAUCUUAUUGUCCUGAAAAGGCAGGCUCUCCAUCUCUCUAUGUUGGGUUUGACAGGGGAAGCAGCAUUCAGAUGGCAUUCAUUACCUGGCUUCUUUGUAGAAGAUACUUGGACUAUUUUCUGUUUCUUUGUCCUCAUAUCUGUCUGCCUUUUGGGGAACUCUAGGAGACACAUGCUUUGAAAUGCCCAAAGAGAAGCAGAAUAACGGUUUUGUUUUUUAAAUAUCAAAGUAAAAAGAUAUAAAAAUUAUUACUCGUAAAGUUGUAAGUAGAUAACCAAUGAAUCUUGGCAAAUUAAGCAUUCUCUUUAGAUACAUGGGAUUAGCACCAUGGUCUAAAGAUCCUCAAAGUAAAAAUUUUCUUAGUUCAAGUCCAAAAUUCUCAGGAGUCCUAGCCUUGGGUUCCCGGAUUUCCCUCGAAUCAGGGGCCAAUGCUGUCUUUUCAUACACUGUUUGGAGCUUCCUGUCUGCCUUGAAUCCCACAAUAGAGGCUGUGAAGCACUGACUGGAACAUAUGUAGUGUCUCAUCUAUCACAAUUUGAGGGAGUUAUGGAAAGCUGUUAAGAUCCCAGUCAUAGAUGACUUUUUUUUAGAGUCUGGGCAGUAUGUAUCUAUAGUUUCAGUAAACGUGACAGCCAGUGAUGACUGUCAGUAACACUCUCAGAUGUCCUCAGGAGUGCUGUGGCAAAGACUUGCUGUUGGAAGUGAAAUAUUCUCCCUCAGAGAUGUCUUAGUCCAUGACUUCCUGUCACAGUCCUCAAUUUUCUGUAUAUCUUCCUGACACCAAUUCAGCUAUUCUGAGGGCCAGGUGUCCUCUUGGAAAAUUCUCUUUAUUUCAUACUUCCCUCUAAAUCUGACUUCACUGAUGAAGGCCUGUUUCCAUUUUAUUUUAGAAGUCUAUUUGUUCACUUUUUUUAUUAUGUAUUUACUAAUUAUUUUAUUUAUUAACUAUUAUUUACUUUUACUUAGAAUAUAAUAUACUUAAAAUAUAGUUAUAUUCUUCUCUCCCCCUUUUGUACUAGUUGCUUUUUGUCAACUUUGACACAAACAUAGACAUAGAUGGGAAGACAGAAACAUACUCGAGAAAAAUGCUUUCAUAGGAUUGGCUUGUAGGCAAGUCUAUGGUGUGUUUUCUUGAUCAAUUAGUGAAGUAGGAGGGCACAUCCCAUUAUGUGCAGUGUCACCCCUUGGAAGGCUGUCCUGGGUAGUAUUAGGAAGCAAGGCAGUUAAGCAGCAUUCUUUCAUGCACUACUUGAGUUCUUGACCUGACUUCCUUCAGUGAUGAACUGUGAUGUGAAGUGCUAGAUCAAACAAACUUUUUCUACUCAGAUUGCUUUUGCUCAUGGUGUUUUGUUACAGCAAUACACUAAAAACCUUAACUAAGAUACCCGACCUUCCAGUCCCCUCCAAGUUAUCUCUCCCACGUCCUCCUUCUGUCUCAAAUGCAUAGCUUUCCCUUUUUGAUUAUUCUCUCUCUCUCUCUCUCUCUCUCUCUCUCUCUCUCUCUCUCUCUCUCUCUCUCUCUCUUCUCUCUCACACACACACACACACACACACACACACACACAGGGAUGGACAGAUGGAUGAAUGGACAGAUGGAAGGGCAGAUGAAUAUAUAAGUACAACACGGUAAGCCCAUUUCUGGUUUUUGUGUGCUUGUGGUUUCAGGGCUGUUUUCUCGGUAUUGAACAACCAAUGAGGGGGCUCAUCCCUGGCAGAGGUUAAUCUCACCACUCUCAGCAGUCAUUAAUAUUCUGUAGUUCUGGGUCUCCGGGCAGGACACCAUGAGAUUUUCCCUUCUCUACAUUAGCACAUCUAUUGAUAUUGCCAAUAUUCUGAUCAUGUUUAUGCAUCUCCUUCUAAAACAGGCAGUCACACAGCAAACUUCCUGGAAAUCUGGUUCUUGCAAUCUUUCUACCCCCUCUUCUACCAUGUUCUCUGAGCCAUAGACGUAGGACCUGCUUUGUAGAUGCUUCCAUUGUGGCUGGGCAUCCCACAAUCAUCUUCGCAUUGUGUUCAGUUGCAGCUUUCUUUAAUAGUCUCCAUCUUCUGUAGAGAGAAGUUUCUCUCUACAGAUGAGGGGUGGCAGUGAGUUUAAGAUUCAGUAUGUAGGUAAGGAAUUAUGUUAGUCUAGCAAAGUGUCUAUAGUAGAUUAUUUUCUAAGUUCCAUGACUUCACUAGCCAUAGCAGGUGUGUAGGUUUCUGGUACCAGCCAUGACUUCCUUCCUGUUGAGUGAGCCUUAAGUCUACUUAGACAGCUGUUGUUUAUCACCAACAUGUUAAUACUACUAUUGGAUCUUUAUAGGUACUUUGCCAUGUCAGUCAUAGUUCUGGUUCAGAGAUGUCACAGCUGGUUAGGAUUACUAAUUACUUUUCUUCCUUGGCAGCUUGUAUAGCACAUUCCAGUAUAUGGAAGUUAGACCUUAGGAAGGAAGCUUUCAGUUUAGGUCUAGCUUGAAUAAUACAAGCCCUGUGCCCUAAGUGUGAAGUGUCUGCAGCACCAAGGGCAACAGCAAUCGUCUGGACUAUUUUGACCAACCACUCAAAAGGAGGUUUCCCACCACUGCCACCACUCAAGAGAGAGAGAGAGAGAGAGAGAGAGAGAGAGAGAGAGAGAGAACCCAUGAGCACAUUCUGUCCCCCAUCUGUUCACAAGUAACACCUGAGACCAUGCCUUAAUGAACCAGUACCCCAAAGGUUAUUGACUGAAUGAGGCUGAAUGAGUUCCUACAACAUGGUAUUAUUGAUUUGCUAGUCUAUGGUUCUUGUGGAGUCUAUUGUCAGCCUAAGUGGCAUAAUUUUGUUUAAUCUCUCUCUCUCUCUCUCUCUCUCUCUUUCUCUCUCUCUCUCUCCAUGCAUUUGUAUGCAGUGUGGUUUCCUAAGGUUUUAUCAAACAAUACUGACAUUAUUUGUCCUUCUUUCUUGCUUCUCCUUCUGUAUUGACUUUUUUCUCUCCUACAAUUUUUCUGUUUCUCUUUUCAUAUCAUCUAUAUUCUGUUAUUUUCCUAUUUUAAGUAUAUUUGGAGGAAGUGAUUUCUUGAGUUCCAGUCUUCUUGUUCAUCUUGAUAAUGUGAGGGGCUGCUUUUUCCUUUCUUUAAGCCAAUGACUAUAUGACGUUCACAUGGACUUAAAGGACUGUACUAACUCAAAUUUUCCCAGAUGGUUUACUUUUCACAUUUCUCUUCUACUUUUUAUCAUCACUACUAUUAUUAUUUUAAGCGUACAUGGGUACAUGUAUGUUUCUCCCCUGUGGUGUGCGUGCUUGUGUGUGUGUGUGUGUGUGUGUGUGUGUGUGUGUGUGUGUGUGCAUGCCAUAAUAUGCAAGUGCAGGUCAGAGGACAAUUCUUGGGAGUUUGCUGUCUCCUUUACUAUGUGAAUUCUUGGAAUCAAACUUGCAUUGUAAGACCUGAUAGCCUACUCCCUUAUCCACUGAGCCAUCUUGCCAUCCCACAAAGGUUUCCUAUCCACCACUGACAUGAGAGUAUGGUUUAACAUGUAGAAUAGCAAUGACAGCAGAGACGACAUGCACACUUUUAUGUUCAGGACCUCUUAUGAACUUCAAGACAACUUCGUGUAGAAGGUAGUAUAAAUUUAGUUUGAUCAUUUAUUUAUUUAUAAAUUUAUUUGUUUAUUUGUUUUUCGAGAUAGGGUUUCUCAGUGGCUUAGGAAGCUGUCCUGGAACUAGCUCUUAUAGAGUAGGCUGGUAUGAAACUCACAGAGAUCCACCUGCCUCUGCCUCCUGAGUGCUGAGAUCAAAGGCAUGUGCAGCCACCAUCCAGCCAGUUUGAUCAUUUUUACUUUACAGAAAAGGUAGGAGGAGAGUGACCUCCUAAGUUACAUGUAUCGAAAUGGGUAGAAGAACAGGGAUGAGGUCUCUGAAUCUUUUAAGCAUUCUACUUAGGGCUAUUGCAUUUCUUGUCUAUGUGAGAAAUCCCAUGAUGCUUAGAUAUAACAACAAAUCAACAUUGACCCUGGUAUGUGAAGGAAAUAAUAUAGGCACUUUAAGAGGUUAUAUCUUAAAGAUAUAACAGAGCCAUGUAUCUUCUUGUUCCUCAUGUAAGUGCCUGAAUUUUCCAAGCUGUUUGGGAUUCACGAGCAAUGAAGCUUUAGAACGAGAUAAACUAAAUGUUUCUUCUGGCAACAUCUUUGAUCUGAUUCAUAUCAGGUUCUAUGUAAUGGAGAGGACAGUCAUAUGUAAUACAUUAAACUGCUUUCAUCAAUGGACAAAGAAAGUCAGAAAAUGCCGACUGAUAUGUUUUAUACUCCACUAUGGCUCCAGCAGCAACAGCCUAGACUGAUGAUGUUUCAAUGCUCAUGGAAUUCAAGAAAUUUUAUUUGCAGAUGAUGAGGAACAGAAGUAAAGCCAAGUUCAGCCACGUUCCGGUUUAGAACUGGAAACAACUGAGAACCCAUUGCUUCAGGAUUCAGAUGAAUCUAGCCGCUUUCAUAGUCUUCCAUUUGCUUGGCAAGAGAAAACUUCCUUUGGCUCAUAGACAUGGUUCUCAAUGCUGCAUUUCUACUUCUAUAAAGGACUCCUAAGAGCCGCACACAUGAAGAAGCAGGUAGAGAAUAUGAAUCAUUUUCUGUUCCUAUUUCAGGAGAAGAUUAUCUCUCUGUUCUUCUUGACCUUGGCAAAGUUGAAUUAAAACUAGGGACUGAGUCUUCAGAAACUUAAAGGACUGAUCCAGUUCACAAACCAAGCAAGUGACAGCCAAGAUUAAAACUCCGCUAUUUUGGGUUGAGAGCUGGAUUCUUGACCUUGUUGCAGGACGAGAGGGUCUGUGGCCCUGAUUCAUCAGCACCAGAGCUGGCUGAACCCUUGAUUGGAGAGACUCAGCACUGCUGCCUCAGCUGAGCAUCUGUGUAAUGUCUUUCAGAAGGAAUCUGAUGUCUGGGAUGUCACGGGAGGAAAAGCUGAGAGUUCAAACUCUGAACAGGGCCUACCUGUCCGAACACACUGCUCGGCCAAUACCCAGCUGAUAAGUAAGGGUACAAUUAUGCUUCUGCAAGAAGUAAAGGUCUAAAAGUACCUUAAAGGAACACGUGAAAGUGCUACCAGAGUUUAAAGGAAGACAAGAACCGGUGGCUGAAAACUCUCAAGGUUCAUCUUAGACUCGGAGGCUGAAGACUGCAGAUCUUCCUGCAUCAGUCUACAUACAAGAACAGGAUUGCUAUUGUGGGGUCCAGUCUGAUUUCCAGAAACUGAGGAGACAUGCUGAGAAGUUAGAAAAAUAUAUUGUACAAUAAAGCACUAUGAAGUAUCAAAAAGUUGUGCUUUAAGACCAACGAGGGAGUUGGAAACAUGAAACAUUAUAGUCCCAAACACGCACCAACGGCUGCAGAGGUGAAGGAGAGAUUACUUUCGCUUGUGCAUGAUACAGUAAAUUUCUUUGGAUGGAAUAUUUAGGUGGACCCAGACAGUUCUUUGGAGCCACAUUAGUGAUUACUCUCUGGAGAGACACAUCUCUCUUGUCUGCCAAGGAAUGAAAAUCCAAACAAUCACAUAGAUCACUUCAAAUGGUGCCAAAUACAUUCCACCAAAUGCUACUGGCAGUAAUUGCAGCAUGUCAUUGGGAGAUGUGAUUUUCUUCCAGCAUCAGACUUUCAUCUUAUCCUGAAUGCCAGGAAACCAAGAAACGAAGGACAUCACUCCAGCAAUAGAGGGUCCUCGCAACCUGCAGCCAUGCUUCUUGACUGUGAAAUGUGUGCAACCACGAAUUAAGAACCAUAUUGUAAUAUAUACUGCCCCGUCGGGGUGUGUCAGCUCCUCCAAAAAUUAGGGAAAGUGAUAAAUAAAGACCACCAUUUUGUACAAAUAGGGUUGAGGUUUCGGACUGAGGGAGGGCAUAACCUGUUGUGGCUUAGGAAUAGGAAUACUCUUUGGGAAGAAUGCGAAGUCUCGGGAGCCGAAGAUGAACCUGAUCUUCAGGAGGCAAGAACACUCCAAAGUCUACCAGUAUUUUUAGAUUCAACUGCAAGACUGCCUUUUAUGCAAACAGGACCAGGAAGUCAUACCAAGGGACAGAGAAAGACCAGGGACAAAGCAGCGUGAAAAACCAAGUUUUUAAAAAGAUAAAAGACUAAUAAGAAGAAGCGGUGGGGAGUCACAGUAUGGCGAGGAAAGGCAGAGCCAUCUAGGAGGGUUGAGACGGGAGGAGGGAGUCUGAAGGGAGGGGGAGAGAGCAGAGAGCGGAGGAGCACGGACGUCAGGAACAAAAGCCCCGGCAGUGGAGUCUGGCAAAGGCAAGAAGAGAGCAUGGGGUGUUUUUGAAUAAUUAUUAAAAUGAGCAUGUGUCUGCGCCAUCCUGUGGGUGUGGCGCUGAGCAGAGUGUAAACUCUAGCGGGGCCGAAGCAAACAUUGCUUUAGCGCCAGCAGCUGCCAGUCUGUGCCUAGGAGUGUGGGGACCAGCGCAGCGGAAAGCAGACCGGCACCAUGGCUUCUUCUCAGGGGAAAAACGAGCUGAAAUUCGCCGACUGGAUGGCAACUCUGCCUGAGAGCAUCCAUAGCAUCCCCCUCACCAAUUUAGCGAUCCCAGGGUCCCAUGAUUCCUUCAGCUUCUACAUUGAUGAAGCCUCUCCUGUAGGCCCUGAGCAGCCAGAAACUGUCCAAAACUUUGUGUCUGUGUUUGGAACUGUAGCCAAGAAGCUGAUGAGGAAAUGGUUAGCCACUCAAACAAUGAGUUUCACUGGUCAGCUAGGAGCUGGAAUCCGCUACUUUGACCUGCGAAUUUCCACAAAGCCCAGAGACCCAGACAAUGAACUGUACUUUGCUCAUGGCUUAUUCAGUGCCAAAGUCAAUGAGGGUCUUGAAGAGAUCAAUGCAUUUCUUACAGACCACCACAAAGAGGUAGUGUUCUUGGACUUCAACCAUUUUUAUGGCAUGCAGAAAUAUCAUCAUGAAAAACUGGUCCAAAUGCUGAAAGACAUCUAUGGAAACAAAAUGUGCCCAGCCAUUUUUGCCCAGGAAGUGAGUCUAAAGUACCUAUGGGAGAAGGACUAUCAAGUAUUGGUCUUCUACCACAGCCCAGUGGCAUUAGAAGUGCCCUUUCUCUGGCCUGGGCAGAUGAUGCCAGCACCCUGGGCAAACACGACAGACCCUGAGAAAUUGAUCCAGUUUCUUCAGGCAUCCAUCACUGAGAGAAGAAAGAAGGGCUCGUUUUUUAUAUCUCAGGUGGUGCUGACACCCAAAGCAAGCACUGUGGUCAAGGGUGUGGCAAGCGGCCUCAGAGAAACAAUCACAGAAAGAGCUCUUCCUGCUAUGAUGCAGUGGGUCCGCACCCAGAAGCCAGGAGAGAGUGGCAUCAAUAUUGUCACUGCUGAUUUUGAAGAACUUGGUGAUUUUAUCAGCACUGUCAUAAAACUCAACUAUGUCUUUGAUGAAGGAGAAGCUGACACUUGAUAUUACUCUUUGGAGCGUCCAUGAGUAAGAUAGAGAAGCCUCAUUGUAUUAGACAUAUUAUCAACACACCCUCUGAUUUUCCUAUUCUACUGAGUCUCUGAAGGAAUUAGGGGUGGUGGUGAGUAGAAAAAGAGGGUAAAUCAUGUCUUCAGUGAUUGUAACCAUAUUCUACAUUACUAUAAAUAUGUCAUUUCCCAUCUGGUGAGCAAACUCUACUUCUAGUGUUAGGAAUAGAAAAGAAUAGUGAAUUUUGUUUUUCAGAAUUAAUGUCUGUGAUAUGUAACUCAUGAGUGUUUUCUUGAUUGCAUUUUCUAAUUUCAGUCUCGGGCUCCUAUACUAUUCAUAGCCUCUACCCUUUCCACUCCCCCUCUCUUGCUCGCUCUAAUUAGAUGCUAUGUGGGUCUCAAAACAAUUGAAUGCCCAACAUAAUGUGUAAUACAUUGUUGUACUGAAAUGUGUUUGUUUUGUGAGACUUGAUAAAAUAUUUCAUAGUCAUCUGCAAUUGGGUGAUCAUAGCUAAUUCUUGCUCAUAGAAAAUAUGCAUCAAAUCCAUUUCCCUGAGUCAGUAAUAUUGGCAGUCAUUAGUGACUUUUGUGUUCUAUGAAAACAAUGGUGUUCCAGAGUAUUUCUGUGUGAGACAGCUAUGACUAUUGCACAAAAACAUCUUUGGAUAGACUAUGAGCAUCAACUCCAUAGAAGAAGAAGAAGAAGAAGAAGAAGAAGAAGAAGAAGAAGAAGAAGAAGAAGAAGAAGAAGAAGAAGAAGAAGAAGACUAUAUACAGAGAUAUCUACUAUCUUAAUUCAGUAGUUUUAAAUAAUAAUGUCCUGCAAAUGUCAAGCUACAAUUGUGUGGUAAUCAGAAGAAAAAUUUUAAAGCUAUAAAAAUUCUCUUAGCAAUUUUAAUAUUUCUUAAAAAAACAAAAGGAAAGAUCAUGAGACUCUCCUAUAAAAUUCCAAUUGCAUAAUUAUAAAACUCAUAUUACAAAACAUUUUAAGAAGCUUUAUUUAUGUUUAUAACUUAGAAAGAAGAAAAAGAAGGAAUGCCAAGGAAGUUAGAAUAAUAUUUUUGAGACUAUAUCCAUAAAUUCUAAAGUUCCUUUACAAAAUCUUACAAUACAUAUGAUUCCUACAGAGUCAUGUACAGUCAGGGUUUCAUCCUAAGCCAGGUGAGAAGGCCAAGGAGCUGAAGUCUCAUGCAAAGUUUCUGUGGCAUCACUUUUGGUAAUCCAAGCAAAACCAUGUUAACACACUUUUGAGUGCUGUAUCAUCCUUGUGUUUUUGUAGCAUUUGACAACUCAAAAAACAAUCUUCAAAGGGCAUAAUUCCCCUCUCUCUAUGUUUCAAAGGAAUAAUGUGAAGUUCCUAAAAUUAUGAAUUAUUUUAUCUUCACACAUAGAAAUAAUCAAACCUCAAUAGUUUCCUGGUGUGAUGCAUUUCAACACAUAUCAGACUCCUGGAAAAAUAAAAGCACAGCCUUGGCUUUCAAUUAAUUAAAAUGAAGGACAUAAGAGUUAAUCCCUUUAACCUAGAUAAAGAGUUGAUUUGAAGUUUACAUUUCAAUAUUAUAAAUAGCCAAGAGUUGACUUAGACAGUAGAUAUUCUUUAUUACAAAACAGCACUUUCUAACAACUACAGAGAGUGAAUAAAAAUUGUCUAUACUGAAUAGAAUGUUCGUGAAAAAUGUGGUCUCUUUUUAGAAUAAGUAACAUGCCUAUGCAUGCAGCAGAUACGUUUAUAAUUCCAGUUUUGUGUGUGUGUGUUGACACACAUACUCUGGUUCAGGCAAGCUGAUACUGAUACAUACAAAUGCACACAGAUUAUAUGAAAACAUAGGAUAAUUGUCGUCAAAUAAAAAUACUGGUAUUAGUAAAUAAUUUAAUUUAAAGAUGAAUCCCGGAGACAGGCAUGAUAGCAAAUGCCCAUAACCCCAGAACUUUGGAGGCAGGAGAGCAGGACCUCUUCAAGAUUAGCCUUGCUAUCCUUUGAGCUCAAGGCUACAUAGUAAGAUCCUAUCUCAAAAAUCUAGCCAAUAAAAUAAACAUAACAUCCUUUAGCAAUGUAUGAGAAUGUUAGAAAACAUUUGAAAAUGCAGUGGUUCAUCAGAAAUAAUAUUUUUGUAAAAACAUCACAGCUUGUGACUUAAUAUUCACAAAAUACACUCUCCUUUUUCAUUUUUCUAUCCUCUAAAUCUAUUAUCUGUCUAUUUCACUUGAUCUUCUUGCGCAAAUGACCUGGAACUCUGUUUAAUCGAUUAUUGACAUUAUGCCCCUUAAAAUUGCUUUUGGAGUCAAUUCCCUCUCUGACUACUCAACUUUGAUGCCUCAUGAGCAUCUAUAGCCAAGCACAGUUUCAAUGACACAAUUAUAUAACUUACAAUAUGACAAAAAAAGAGAUUCUCAAUCUGUUAACAAAAAAAUGAAUGCAAUGUAGAAGUAGCUGUGUUAUAUUUUCUUGAAUUUUGAUGCUUCCCUAUAGUGUUUUGCACAUAGUCAACUUUGUGAAAUUUGCUAUGUGAGUACUGGGAGGAAUAAACAUAUUGAAACAUUAGAAUGAAAUUUCUUAAGUAGGACAGAGGGGGGUUUGUCUUUGUUUUGUAGGUGUUGCCUUUAAUGAUGUGUACACAGAACUUUGUUAGAGAGGAAGUCCUUUGAAUCUGAACUUAUGAUUUCCAUGUGGAUAUACAGUUGGUUCGAAGGUAGAAGGCACUGAGAUAAAUGGACGUGCCUUAACUUGUUAAGAAGAACUAAGACAGAAAUAAGCUAUGAGAGAAAUCACUUAAAGGGAUUUCUGGGAAUGAGGAAUGGAGAUAAGGUACCUUUGGCUGUCUUCUGGUCAUCGGCCCUGCUGUGGAGCACAUGCAUGGAGCAGACUUUCAUAGAGAAAUUAUGAUAUGCAAUCCAAUCAGACCAUUAGCUCUGUUUUGUCAUUACAGAGCAUGGGGCACAAGGGCUACACAUAGACUUCAAGUGUAGCUAUGUCUUAACAUAUUUUAUGUUUUACUGGCAUUUUAAGACACUAUGUUAUAAGUCCUACAAAGCCAAAAACAAAACUAAAAAUCCAAGUUUUACUCAACCCAUGGUAGUAAAUCCAAAGAGUGAGAAGAAUGAGGGAAAAUACUCAAUAAAAUCAUUUUUACAUUUGCUUUCCUGUCAGUUAAUCUGAAAGACCAAUAUAAUGAAUACUUCUGCCAUUACCAUUUAUGUCUCCUUCUUACUACACAGUCAUGUGAGCACAGAGAAUGAGGAGGCAUCCUUCAAAGUUUUAGGAGAUUCUACAUGGUAACCUCAAUGUUCCCUUUCAGCCAUAUUGGAAAACUCACAUUUCACAGAACACCUCUUAACAAAGAGUGUAUCAGAGCAUAAAAAAUAUAUGGCAAGAAACCAGACACACACACACACACACACACACACACACACACUGUUGAAGUUGCACCCAAUCAGCCAAACUGAUUUAUUUUAAUUUUAACUCAAUAUUUUCUAUGUUAUCAGGCUUGAAUAUAGAUCAAGUGUUUGAAUAUUUAAAGAGAGAAAAAUCAUUAUAAAACCAACAAAAUUGAAACCACCAGAAACUAGAUAGACCUGGCAGUAGUGCGCAAUUUAUACUGUCAAUCAACCUCAAGAUACACCAUCUAAUGUGAAUUUGAAUACAAAUGUUUGAACAUGUACACAUCUUCACUCAAAGCUGUUUGAGUCCUCUAAAGUUCUGAGGUGUUUUUUGGCAGUGCCACUUGUCCAGGUUCCUACCUGUUAGAAUUACAGACUAGAGAGUUGGAAGUCUCAGGAGAUGCAUGUUUUUGUUAGUUUUUAGUUCUACCAUUUUACAAAUACUUAGUGACACAAUCUCCUAACUUUUCUUUGGUUUGUCAACCAAAGAAGAGAUGAAUAGGUCAAGUGCUCACAUCCUGAACAGCUAAGAGAAAAUAACAUACAGUGUCUGUCCUUCAGGAGAUGCUAAAUAAGAUCUCUUGAGAAUUUUAUUUUGCUAUAUUUUAGUCUUUUUCACUAGUUUUCAGUGACAUCAUGGUGUGAAUGCUCUAUUUGCUAUAACUUAUUGGUGGCUCCUGUGUAAUGUAUAGUUUAAAAUAAUGUUCCAAAUUGUUUGUUUUCCCAAUGAUGACAAUAAAAUAUUCUGUAGAAUUUGUAAAAAAAAAAAUAAGUGUUAAGUAAAAAUUGUGUAAUUUUUAUUUUACUUGUGAUACAAUUUUGUAGUUGUUAGUUCUGAGCAUACAUUUGUAUAAGUCAAAAUUGUCAGUGUAAUUACAUUGUAUCUUCUUAAAAAUCAAACUUAUCCUAAAGAAAAAGGGCACAUCAUGACUAGCCUUAACGCCUUGUCAUUUUUGCUUUGUUUUAUUUUAGCUUGGUUGAAUUGCUGCAUUUUGGAUUUAAAUUAUUGGCAAAAAACAUAUUUCUUCUGAAGAUGUCACUGAAGCAAUCUUAUGAAGUAUAUGCUUUAGAAAGUUGCUGAGUUAUCACAACUUACUGUCCAGCUUGGUCAUCAGUUAUGCAUUUUGAAAGUGUCAAAUAUCACUUAGUUUAUCAACUUCAUCAUAUCCUACAAAACUAAAUUCACAUUUAUUUCCACCAGCUUCAGAACCAGCAUCAAAAUUCUGACACAGUAUUUUGCAAGGGUAGGUCAUUUCUACUUUAAUGAUUAGUCUCCAAGGAUGGCCAUCUCUUACCCACUGAUUUUGAAUUUCAGAUCAUAUGAAAUAAGAUAGUCUGCUUUUGAUCUAUGAGAAGCACAGAUGAUCCAUUCACAUGAGGUGAUUCCAAUAUGGUUCUCUUCUCAACAAAACCAGUAACAAUGCUCAUCUUUCUCUCUUCCCCAUGUGCAACAGGAAACUCCCAAUCUGUCUACAAAGGUGGUCACGUUGAAGCAAAACUGUAAUCUAUUUUAAGCUUAGACUCUAUUUAUGAACAUUGGUUCCUAAUUUCUUUCACUCUUGGUGUUUCUUUAUAAUGGUUACAGUUGCCAAUUAAAAUGCAGAACAGCAUUGAAAUUCAAAUCUCAAAUAAGUAGUAUGCUAUUGAGUUUCCUAUUAGUUCAUUAAAAAUGCUUAUGCUAAAGUCCUUAUUUACUUAAGGUUCAAUUUUAAGUGAAUAUGUUCUGCAUUACUUCCUUUACGCUGGCAUCACUACACAUAAUUCCUCCAAAUCUUUUUCAGCUGGGCUGCUGUGAGCUCUGAGACCACUCUUCCAUAUCAUAACUCAUAAAAUCUGUAGUUUUGGUCCUUUCAUGAAGAAAAUAUUGUUUCACACUAAGUCCAUAGAUGAGUUUCAAUAAUCAUCCCCAAAGUCAUUUGAAAAAUCAAACUUGUAUCUUCACUAGAUGAAAGCUACUGAAUUCAGUUUUUUUCUAUAAUGGCAUGCUGGAGGACUAGAUUCUACCUAUUAUUUCUGGAAAUAAGUAUUCCCCGGUAAUUGAGACAACAAAAAACAUGACACACAUCAAAACUUCAAUUGGAAAGUGGAACUGCCUUCUAACUCAAGAUCAGAGCUGCUUCUAAGACUCUGUGUGUUUUCCUUUAAAGAGGAAUCCAAUGAGCCCAUCUUCCUACUCCCUAUCAUUAAUACCUUAAAAUUAUUUUAUGAAUUACAAGUAUUCAUUUAUGUAGAAGAUUUAAGGAAAGGAACUCUUCAGGGAGGGAGAAAAGAAUCCAAGGUAAAUACAAUCUAGUCCCGAGGCCUUCUUCCCAUGUUGGAGGAUGAUGCUGGGCAGUAGGCGGGGACAGAAAGAGGUCCCUGAGUAAAGCCUGUGCCAGAUAAAAUUGCUGAAGCAGAUUGUAUUGAGCAGCUGGUUUUCAGAAACUGAAACUGGAAACCCCUGAAUAUGAGACAUGAGGUCUAAAUGUGGUUCUGAAAUCAGCUUCCAAAGGCAAGAACCAUGCUGGAAUUACUAAAUAAUGUCCAGUGUUUCCAACACAGCAUCCUUCAUAGUCUGAACACAGAUGACGUUCUGGAAGAUUCCUGAUAGCUACCUCCUCUCUUGAAAUUCCUAUAAGAAAAAUAGGAAAACUAAAUCCCAUAAUAUGUUUCCAUCACGUGAUUGCUGACUGUACAUAUUUGUGUUGAUUUGCUUCAUUUCUGGAGAAAGAGAAUGUGUAGAGCUGCUGUUUCCUUCAUGGACCCUAGGAAUUCGCCAGAGGGAGUCAGAACUGUGCCUUCUCUUUUUAGGAUCUGUUCACUGAUACUUUACUAUAUGUGCUGUUGUGAAAAUCCAUACUAUAGUCUGUAUAGAAGAUGUGAGUUUUUAUAUAUAUAAAAUUGUGUUCUUAAUGUAAAGAAAAGUUCAUUUGUAGCUAGUGAAAUUGCUUAAUA